CCAACUCGUUUGUUGUACACAGGCCGUAGCCAUUAUCUCCCCUGCCGCGGGUGUAGGUUUGUUUCGACGAAAAAGCCACCGACGACUAGACUACAACAGAAGCGCGCGAGGGCUAUUUUUAGCUCCUGAGUCAAGACGAGCAGUUCAGAUAUGUAAAUCUGAUUUCUUGGAAAUCUUAUUUUCCUGAGCAGCAGACGGUCUAGCUUUCCAGUAGCAGACGAUUCGCUGUGUGUGCAUACGCCUAGAGACCAAGACCCUCCAGCCUCGCAGAUGAUGACUUGUGGCUAGCGGAACACAAUUCACAAGUUGCUCAAAAGCUUAUACAUACGUAUGGCAAGCGGCGGUUCUUCCAACGAUUAUUGCUGGGCGACACCCGAAGAAGCGGAACGGCAUACACGGAAAAUAAACGAUUUCCCCCUUGACAAAGAUGGUAUGUAGGUCGUGUUUUUGUG